rnacentral:rRNA from 1 species
UGGGGAAUCUUGGACAAUGGGGGCAACCCUGAUCCAGCCAUGCCGCGUGAGUGAUGAAGGCCUUAGGGUCGUAAAGCUCUUUCGCCUGUGAAGAUAAUGACGGUAGCAGGUAAAGAAACCCCGGCUAACUCCGUGCCAGCAGCCGCGGUAAUACGGAGGGGGUUAGCGUUGUUCGGAAUUACUGGGCGUAAAGCGCACGUAGGCGGACCCAGAAAGUUGGGGGUGAAAUCCCGGGGGCUCAACCCCGGAACUGCCUCCAAAACUAUUGGUCUAGAGUUCGAGAGAGGUGAGUGGAAUUCCAAGUGUAGAGGUGAAAUUCGUAGAUAUUUGGAGGAACACCAGUGGCGAAGGCGGCUCACUGGCUCGAUACUGACGCUGAGGUGCGAAAGUGUGGGGAGCAAACAGGAUUAGAUACCCUGGUAGUCCCACACCGUAAAACGAUGAAUGCCAGUCGUC